UGAUCGGAUGCCGCCGCCGGCUUUGAACUUCAUCCGAAGGCUGCCUUCGCUGUCUGAUCGACUUUUGUAGGCGCGCAUGGAUGUUGGGCUAGCUAAGGAAAUGGCUAGAAUUCCCAUCUUCUUGAUGGGACUUCUUUUCUUAUGUUUCAACAUAGCCAGAGCUGAAGCACAAUACAUUAAUUAUAAAGACCCCAAACAGCCAUUAAAUUCUAGAAUCAAGGAUUUAGUGAGCCGGAUGACUUUGGAGGAAAAGAUUGGCCAAAUGGUGCAGAUAGACCGCAGUGUUGCUUCAGCUGAGGUGAUGAAGAAGCACUUCAUUGGGAGCAUAUUAAGCGGGGGUGGGAGCGUUCCAGCACAAAAGGGUUCUGCAGAAACUUGGAUUAACAUGGUCAAUGAUUUUCAAAAGGGUUCUUUAUCAACUCGGCUUGGAAUUCCAUUGAUUUAUGGUAUUGAUGCUGUUCACGGCCACAACAACGUCUACAAGGCAACAAUCUUUCCUCACAAUAUUGGGCUCGGAGCCACCAGGGAUCCGGAACUUGUUAAGAGGAUCGGAGCUGCAACUGCACUUGAAGCUAGAGCUACGGGCAUUCCAUAUGUCUUUGCCCCUUGUAUAGCGGUUUGCAGAGAUCCAAGAUGGGGUCGCUGUUAUGAAAGCUACAGUGAAGAUCCUAAGAUUGUUCAAGCAAUGACUGAGAUCAUUCCCGGCUUACAAGGGGAGAUACCAGCUAACUCUAGAAAGGGUGUUCCCUUCGUAGCAGGAAAUAAAAAGGUUGCAGCUUGUGCAAAGCAUUUUGUGGGUGAAACAACCAAAGGCAUCAAUGAGAAUAACACUGUGAUUAACAGACAUGGCUUGCUCAGCAUUCACAUGCCAGGCUACUAUAACUCAAUUAUCAAGGGUGUGGCAACCAUUAUGGUAUCCUACUCAAGCUGGAAUGGAGUAAAGAUGCAUGCUAAUCAUGAUCUUGUCACUGCCUUCCUUAAGAAUACGCUACGUUUCAGGGGUUUUGUCAUUUCAGAUUGGGAGGGUAUUGAUAGGAUCACCUCUCCGCCUCAUGCCAACUACUCUUAUUCAAUUCAGGCAGGAAUCAAUGCUGGCAUUGACAUGGUCAUGGUUCCAUACAACUAUAUGGAAUUCAUUGACGGUUUAACCUUCCUGGUGAAAAAUAAGAUCAUUCCCAUGAGCAGAAUUGAUGAUGCAGUAAAGAGAAUUUUGCGAGUUAAGUUUGUCAUGGGCCUAUUUGAGGAACCAUUCGCUGAUAUGAGCCUGGUCCACCAGCUUGGCAGUCAGGAACAUAGAGAACUGGCUAGGGAAGCUGUGAGGGGAUCGCUGGUGCUGCUAAAGAAUGGUGCUGAAAAGCCAUUGCUAUCCCUUCCCAAGAAGACAUCGAAAAUACUUGUAGCUGGCAGUCAUGCAGAUAAUCUUGGCUAUCAGUGUGGUGGGUGGACUAUUGAGUGGCAGGGAUUAAGUGGCAACAAUCUCACAGAAGGUACCAAAAUUCUUACCGCCAUAAAGAACACAGUGGAUCCAAAAGCACAAGUAGUCUACAAAGAGAAUCCUGACGCUGACUUUGUGAAGUCAAAUAAUUUCUCGUAUGCCAUUGUUAUAGUCGGAGAACAUCCAUAUGCCGAGACAUUUGGUGACAGCUUAAAUUUGACAAUCCCCGACCCUGGCCUGACCACCAUCACUAAUGUUUGCGGCACUGUGAAAUGUGUUGUUAUUGUCAUCUCCGGCUGUCCAGUUGUGAUCCAACCCUAUGUUGCUUCGAUUGAUGCCCUUGUCGCGGCUUGGCUUCCAGGAACUGAAGGCCAAGGAGUAGCUGAUGUUUUAUUUGGUGACUAUGGUUUCACUGGAAAGCUUUCUCGCACUUGGUUCAAAACAGUCGAUCAGCUACCUAUGAAUGUUGGAGAUGCACAUUAUGACCCUCUCUUCCCAUUUGGAUUUGGCCUCACUACAACCCCCACCCAUUUCAACUAGGAAAUGGCCAGACUUCCCGUCUUCUUGGCGGGACUUCUUCUCUUAUGUUUCUGCAGCAUAGCGAUAGCAGAAGCAGAAUACAUUAAAUAUAAGGACCCCAAACAACCAUUAAAUACUAGAAUCAAGGAUCUGAUGAGCCGGAUCACUUUGGAGGAAAAGAUUGGCCAAAUGGUGCAGAUAGAUAGCCGUGUUGCAUCAGCUGAGGGAGUAUAUUAAGUGGGGUUGUGAAUGUUAGAGUACAAAAGGGUUCUGCAGAAACUUGGGUUAAACUGGUGAAUGAUUUUCAAAAGGCUUCUUUAUCAACUCGGCUUGGAAUUCCAUUGAUUUAUGGUAUUGAUGCUGUUCAUGGCCACAACAGUGUCUACAAGGCAACAAUCUUUCCCCACAAUGUUGGCCUUGGAGC